UACGUAGGGGGCUAGCGUUGUCCGGAAUCAUUGGGCGUAAAGCGCGCGUAGGCGGCCCGAUAAGUCUGCUGUGAAAGUCCAGGGCUCAACCCUGGAAUGCCGGUGGAUACUGUCGGGCUAGAGUUCGGAAGAGGCAAGUGGAAUUCCUGGUGUAGCGGUGGAAUGCGCAGAUAUCAGGAGGAACACCGAUGGCGAAGGCAGGUCUCUGGGCCACUACUGACGCUGAGGCGCGAAAGCCAGGGGAGCGAACGGG
rnacentral:rRNA from 1 species